CAAUAGCGUAUAUUAAAGUUGUUGCAGUUAAAAAGCUCGUAGUUGGAUUUCGGGGCAGCCUGGCUGGUCCGCCGCAAGGCGAGUACUAGUCAGCCGCCCUUCCUCUCGAAAGCCCCGACUGCUCUUUAUUGCAGUGGUCGGGUAGUUCGGGACGUUUACUUUGAAAAAAUUAGAGUGUUCAAGGCAGGCCUACGCCUGAAUACAUUAGCAUGGAAUAAUGGAAGAGGACCUCGGUCCUAUUUUGUUGGUUUCCAGGACCGAAGUAAUGAUUAAGAGGGACAGUUGGGGGCAUUCGUAUUUAAUUGUCAGAGGUGAAAUUCUCGGAUUUAUGAAAGACGAACAACUGCGAAAGCAUUUGCCAAGGAUGUUUUCAUUAA
rnacentral:rRNA from 1 species